rnacentral:rRNA from 1 species
GACGUAGGGCGCGAGCGUUGUCCGGAUUUAUUGGGCGUAAAGAGCUCGUAGGCGGUCUGUCGCGUCGGUCGUGAAAACUUGGGGCUUAACCCUGAGCUUGCGGUCGAUACGGGCAUCACUGGAGUUCGGCAGGGGAGACUGGAAUUCCUGGUGUAGCGGUGAAAUGCGCAGAUAUCAGGAGGAACACCGAUGGCGAAGGCAGGUCUCUGGGCCGAUACUGACGCUGAGGAGCGAAAGCGUGGGGAGCGAACAGG